UAAAUUUACCCGCCAACAAGCUUCGUCCGCAUUUUGGGACUCUUAGCCUCUGGCGUUUUUGCUGACCAAUUGGGUCACUGCACGAAUUUGCCGACCAUUGGAGAAUUCUUGUCAGUUUUGAGGGUUUGCAUCUCGAAAUCAAAACCAUGACGAAUUGUGAGUGCCUGGGAGUUUUCGUAGAGCCGCUUGUGGAUCACUAUGAUGUAGCUAUCGGUUGAAAGCGCUCACUGGCCUUGGUAAUUGUAGAUAUAUGGAAGUGGAACCAUUUGGAGCUGGUUGGGUUAUUGUCAGGAAAUUGUCGGACUAGGGGGGUCGUGAACUUCUUGCCGUGGUUGUCUUCAUUUUGGGUAUUUUGGCAUGCAACACUUGUUUCCAAGUUGGGGAUUGCGUGUGAGGUGAGAGGCUGGGGUUGAAUACUGUGGAAAGGAAGGUUUCUGAGGGAAAAAUAGUUUUCAUUGAUCCUGUUUUAUUGAUUGGUCCUUCCAUUGCAUUUUUUCUUAAGCGUGUCCAUUAUAUUGUGCACGGAUGCGAACCAAUAAGUGUUAGCUGGUGAGAACCAUCUUGUUUGAACUUGUACACAUGGAACUUUCUUUUUUCUGAAAGCUAGGUUGGUCCAGUUGGGAUACCCAACACGUAGAUUUCUUGGCACGAGAGUUAUGCUUUUAUGGUAUCUUGUCAUCCUUGAAACAAACCAGGAAAUCAUACACAAGAUGUUCGUGACCUUGACUCUUGUACAUGGUGAAUGAGUGCUUCUGGAAGCUCUUAUCCUCUGAUACCCACUCGAGAACGAUUCAAUCUGAACAAACCUGGUUUAAAUUCAGGACGUUCUACUUUCUUCGCUUGGAUUUGGAAGUGGAAUUUUAUGUUCGCUUGAAUACCCCUAACCGUCUGGAGCAUUAAUAUCGGAGAGUUCAACGGUUGCCAGAUAUUCGGCAUCCACACACUACUAUGCGCUGAACAAAUGAGGAUCUUUUGCAGGCCACAUUUGACGUGUAUAGAGGACUCACUUUUGUUGAGAAACAGGCGCCAUCUGUGAUCCUGCUUGAAGGGGAGGAUAUCAUCUAUGAGUUGUACUGUUUGACUUCACUUAGAGUACCAGUGGAGCAUGUCCUGCACAACCCACAAAAUCGUGUUGAUCUAGAUUAUGAUGUAGAUUCUUCAUCUGGAAUUGAAUUUCGAUUUAAGAAGAAGGGUCUACAUCAUAAACUGGAUGAUUACGAUUGUUGGAUAACAGCAGCACCUACGCUUUCUAAAUUUUGCAGUAGGUUCUACAAGAUUAUCAGUAUCUCCCACUGUGAUAGUUUACACUUGCUAAUUGCAACGUUUGACUAUCUUUAGACUCAUCUUGUUACAGUUUAUGAUGUACUAUUCUUUUUUGUUCUGUGGGCUUGCUUAGUGUCACAAACCUUCGACUUAACUUGUGGUUUCUGCUUGAUGGCGACCUCGCUGUGAAACCAUUCAGUUAUGGUAGCAGCUGAAUGGUGUGUGCUGGUCGAAUGAGUUCCUAUGAACUUAACACCAAGUUGUUUAGGCGGGUAUCGUUUCGAGAUCGUGUAUUUUUACACAACUAAUAUUGCUAUGUGAAAAAACUUGGAUCAA